UACGUAGGGGGCAAGCGUUGUCCGGAAUUAUUGGGCGUAAAGAGCGCGUAGGCGGUCCGAUAAGUCCGCUGUGAAAGUCGGGGGCUCAACCCUCGAAAGCCGGUGGAAACUGUCGGGCUAGAGUGCGGAAGAGGCGAGUGGAAUUCCUGGUGUAGCGGUGAAAUGCGCAGAUAUCAGGAGGAACACCAAUUGCGAAGGCAGCUCGCUGGGACGUUACUGACGCUGAGACGCGAAAGCGUGGGGAGCAAACAGG
rnacentral:rRNA from 1 species